AUGGAUGUGAUGAUCCUUUCCCCACAUGAUCGACGCUGAAUAUGCUCUGCGCUUUCUUUAUUUAUCUCCUUCAUGGAGGAGAAAAAUCAAGCCAGGAAUCUGAUCCUU